GGGGAAUUUUCCGCAAUGGGCGAAAGCCUGACGGAGCAAUACCGCGUGAGGGAGGAAGGCUCUUGGGUUGUAAACCUCUUUUCUCAGGGAAGAAUGAUGACGGUACCUGAGGAAUAAGCAUCGGCUAACUCCGUGCCAGCAGCCGCGGUAAUACGGAGGAUGCAAGCGUUAUCCGGAAUGAUUGGGCGUAAAGCGUCCGCAGGUGGCAAUGUAAGUCUGCUGUCAAAGCGUCUGGCUCAACCAGAUAAAGGCAGUGGAAACUACAUAGCUAGAGUAAGGUAGGGGUAGAGGGAAUUCCUGGUGUAGCGGUGAAAUGCGUAGAGAUCAGGAAGAACACCGGUGGCGAAAGCGCUCUGCUGGACCUUAACUGACACUGAGGGACGAAAGCUAGGGGAGCGAAUGGGAUUAGAUACCCCAGUAGUCCUAGCCGUAAACGAUGGAUACUAGGCGUUGCCCGUAUCGACCCGGGCAGUGUCGUAGCUAACGCGUUAAGUAUCCCGCCUGGGGAGUACGCAGGCAACUGUGAAACUCAAAGGAAUUGACGGGGGCCCGCACAAGCGGUGGAGUAUGUGGUUUAAUUCGAUGCAACGCGAAGAACCUUACCAGGGCUUGACAUGUCCGGGAUCCUCUUGAAAGGGAGGAGUGCCUUCGGGAGCCGGAACACAGGUGGUGCAUGGCUGUCGUCAGCUCGUGUCGUGAGAUGUUGGGUUAAGUCCCGCAACGAGCGCAACCCUCGUUCUUAGUUGCCAUCAUUAAGUUGGGAACUCUAAGGAGACUGCCGGUGACAAACCGGAGGAAGGUGGGGAUGACGUCAAGUCAGCAUGCCCCUUACGCCCUGGGCUACACACGUACUACAAUGCUAUGGACAAAGGGCAGCAAGCCAGCGAUGGCAAGCAAAUCUCGUAAACCAUGGCUCAGUUCAGAUCGCAGGCUGCAACUCGCCUGCGUGAAGUCGGAAUCGCUAGUAAUUGCAGGUCAGCAUACUGCAGUGAAUUCGUUCCCGGGCCUUGUACACACCGCCCGUCACACCAUGGAAGCUGGUCACGCCCGAAGUCGUUACCCUAACCUUUCGAGGAGGGGGACGCCGAAGGUAGGACUGGUGACUGGGGUGAAGUCGUAACAAGGUAGCCGUACCGGAAGGUGUGGCUGGAUCACCUCCUU
rnacentral:rRNA from 1 species